rnacentral:sRNA from 1 species
UCUACACGUUAUUUUUUCUUCCUAUUUUUUUUGGUGUGGCCAGCGGCCAGGCACCUCUCACCACCACAACCCAUCAUUAUUAUGGUUAUUGGUGGUCGGUGGCCAUCAAUCAUGUCAUGUUCUGGUGACGAUGUCCACCAUCACUUGUCGUGAUGUUGGUGACGAGGUAGUUAUUAAAAAGGAUCUUCUGAGGAGAGGAGUUUGUAGGGCAGGGUAGUAGUACGAUUAAGUGAAAAAGUGAAGCCCAAAACUAUGACUAAGUGGAAAGAGAGGGUCAGGAACAACAUGAAGAGGGACUGGUGGGACGUUUUCAGUGAAGAAUGACCGAGAGAGUUAUUCCGUAAUGUUUCGUUGCACGAACAUCUAAACUGCACAAGUGACUGAUUUCAUGAACAACAUUCUAUUUGCUUGUAAUUAUCUAACUGGAGCAAGAUAUAAACAGGAGGAAAGAUACAAUACAAACGUUAUGAUACACCUUAACCCCGGUUAGGAGGAUUCUUAUCUCUUCCCUGGGUGUCUUCAUUGUUUUGAAGAAUGCUGUUCGCCGAAAGCCUGCCGAAAAAUGUCCUCCUCCGCGACCCUUUUCCUCUUCCUCUGGGCCUGACUCUGUCGUAUUUCGGCCCUUGCACAAUGGGCGACUCGUUUGCCAUCCAAGAAUUAUCACCAGGCUGGAUGUGUUUCGUCACUAGUUGCUGGUUUUGUAGUUGAUGCGCUAACGCUUCAAAAGAUGUGAAGUACCAGCUUUGGCUUCCUUGCGCUUGGGGCGCUGGCAUAUACGUCGGCAAUGGAUUCUGACCAUGAAUGUCUAGAUGGCACAUAAGUUCCUCAAGAUAUUCGGGGUCAAACUGAAGCGAGGCACUUGGAGAGGAUAGAUGUUGACGAAGGGGAAGGUUAAAUGGCGGCUGUUUGAGAUGAUCAUGGGUAUCAGGGAAAUUGUUGACUCGUGCUUGAAUCGGUUGAUUGCAACAGUCCGACAUAGGAUCACGGUUCAGAAGAGGCCGCCUCGCCAACCAAGGUGAAGAAGAGUAUGAGUUCUCUUCGCUGCGAGAGGCUGUAGAUGCACUGGCCACACUAACCGCCUCGUCAACCCCUCGAUGGCAGUCCUGGGGUUUGCGAUUCGUCGGAACGAUGACUGCCCUUGAGCCUCUACAAAUGCUAUUGAACCUCUUCUCAAUGGGGAGGGUAGUGAUGAGUCGUGCCCGCCUGUUUGAACAGGCAAAAGGGACUUCCUCCAAUCCUGCGUUACUAUGAAACCCUCAUCGCUCGCCUUUUUUGUCGUCCUUCCUGGCUGGGGAGGAUAGGGUAGAUUGUUCUCCACACAGUACGCCUUAAGCUCGUCGUCGUCAUAUAUGGCCUUGACGGUCCCGUUUUCCUCUUUGUAAGCCACUGGUUUGAGUUUCAUGUUAGUUUGAAACCCCUGGUGUGCGAGACAAAGGCUCAUCGAGGGGAAAUACCGGGUAUUGGGCUGUCAUCGGAAUUGUGUGGGGCUGUUCAGCGAAUUGCUUAUCAUGAGGUGAUUGAAAAUGUGCUUCCCCUGCUGGAGGGUAGGCCAUCGAGGAUGAUUGGCCAUUCGUGGAUUGAGGAUUCUGGAAUGCUUCGGAUAGAGGAUAUAAGAACUGAUCCGCGGUCGUUAUGCCGUUGGAUAGCUGCCCUACAUUCCAAAAUGAAUUGGCAAUCUAAUCAUUACAAGCUCAGUAACUCCCCUACACGUUCGAAGAUAUACAAAAAACUGACUGGCAUAAUAUGGUCAUAGGAGAAAGCAGGUGGAGAUAAUGAAAAUCGAGGGGGAAAAGUGGCCACAGGCAUACCAAUACCUACACUGGGUUGCAAAAAUCCCGGUUGCUGGGACAGCAUCGGUACGUAGGUAGCAGAAGGCAUGUUAAGGCCAGGUGAAAAUUGAGGCUGUUGUAUCCUGGCCUCAAUCGCUGACUGAGAUUCUGUGACUCGCUUUACAACAGGUUCACGGGCCAAGUUCGACAACGUCGGGGGCCUGACGAUACGUCCAGUAAGGUCAACAUAUACACGUCUGGUCUUGUUUCAGAGGUAAUUCAGCCAACAAUAUCCUGGUCGAAUACUAGCCACUCACAUGCACGUCCGAAUGAAUAACUCUCCGCAAUUCAACUUUGAUCGCAGUGCCGAACGAGAUUGACCCAUUCUGGGUGAAAGGAUAAGUA